AUACGUAGGUGGCAAGCGUCGUCCGGAAUUAUUGGGCGUAAAGCGCAUGUAGGCGGUUUGGUAAGUCGGUCGUGAAAAUGCGGUGCUUAACGCCGUAUGGCGAUUGAAACUGCUGAACUUGAGUGCAGGAGAGGAAAGGGGAACUCCCAGUGUAGCGGUGAAAUGCGUUGAUAUUGGGAAGAACACCGGUGGCGAAGGCGCCUUUCUGGACUGUGUCUGACGCUCAGAUGCGAAAGCCAGGGUAGCGAACGGGAUUAGAUACCCCGGUAGUCCUGGCCGUAAACGAUGGGUACUAGGUGUGGGAGGUAUCGACUCCUUCCGUGCCGGAGUUAACGCAAUAAGUACCCCGCCUGGGGAGUACGGCCGCAAGGCUUAAACUCAAAGGAAUUGACGGGG
rnacentral:rRNA from 1 species